UACAGAGGUCUCGAGCGUUAGGCGGAAUCACUGGGCUUAAAGCGUGUGUAGGUGGAUGCCUAAGUACCUUGUGAAGUCCCACAGCUUAACUGUGGAACUGCUUGGUAUACUGGGUGUCUUGAGUCACUCAGGGGCGAGCGGAACAAAUGGUGGAGCGGUGAAAUGCGUAGAUAUCAUUUGGAACGCCAAUGGUGAAAACAGCUCGCUGGGGGUGCACUGACACUGAGACACGAAAGCCAGGGGAGCGAACGGG
rnacentral:rRNA from 1 species